AAGUAACCAUUUCUUCCUAUAUACAUAAAAAUGUUAGGUAGUUAUUUCACUGUCAUUAAAGGAUUUGUAGUGCCUCAUCACAAACCUGGAUUUGCAGGAAGUCAGAAUGCAGCCCUCAUUUUAAGCAGAUUUUAUAUGUGUCUAUUGUUUUAACUCUAUCAAUGUUUAAUUGUAUUUUAAUGGUUGAUUUUUUUUAUGUUUUUAACAGUUAUUGUUUUAUCUGUAAGUUGCCUUGAGUCCCAUCAAAGGAAAAGGCAGGGUAUAAAUAAAUAUAUAACAAUAAUACUUGGAGGAUUUGUAGUGCUUUAUCACAAGCCUGGAUUUGCAUGGGGUAGGGGAGUAAAAGAGAAGGCAGGUUGCACAACACCAGUCACCAUGGCAUGGGAGAGGGAAGGGAGGGAUACUGACAAGGAAAAACAGCAGCAGAACUUCCUGUAAAGCAGGGGUGGUGGGAACAAAGAGAAAAAUAAAAGUUUUAAAUAACAGCAGAGGUUGAGUAAAACAUGGAUGGAGACAAACUUAGAGAAGAAACGAGACAAUUUUAACAGUAGCCGAUGUUUGAGAAGAGUGAGCAGGGGUAACAUGGGGGAAAGUGGCUGUUGAAAGCAGUGUUUGAGUACAGUGAGAAGGGAGUUGGGAAAGUCUUGAUCUGUUAUCUUUUUGAUGUUAGUUUCUGUGUUGUGCCCAUCUCUGCUGUUUGUUAAAGCUGGUUUGUUCCCCCUCCCCCAUUCCUGCUUUACUCAAUCUUCAGCCAUUGUUUAAAACCACAAUUUUCAUCUCUGUUUUCUUUCACCCCAGCUUUACUCAAACUUCUGCUGUUGAAUGAAUUUAGCAAGCAGAGUGAAACACUGAAAGAGGGGGAAAUGGCACAUUUUAAACGACUCCCUCUUCCAUUCAGCUGCCUCAUGUGAGAGAGAUAAAGGAUGUGGAACCCUCAAAUAUUCCAUAGUACCUUCCCACAGUCAUAUAUUUCACUCCUGCUACCAUGUGUUGUCUUCAACAUGACGUUCCAGAUUUAGUGCCAUCAUUCAUAAGAGAUACUUGUUAGUACAGUAUUUAUUCUGCAUGACUACACUGAAUCUGGAACUUCAUGUUGUACACCCAUAUAUGUACAACAUCCAUCAAGUGAACUUAACAUUUUCUAACUGAAUAAGCUAAUGGACAAACUUGCUCUUAAGUUUCUAUUAAUAUUAAAGAUAAAGUACCAUAUAUGAACAUGACGUGUGUGCAAAGAAGCUUCAGAAAAGGAAAGAGGACGUGGCAUAAAAAUGGGGUUGGUAUGUGUACAGGUGGAGAGAAGGAGAUAGGAAAAAGGGGGGUAAAUGUGAUAAUGGGGUAUGUGUGCAAAGCAGGCUGCACAAUAGGAGAGAGGAAAAGGCAUGAAAAUGGGUGAGAUGUGUGCAAGGUAGAGUUGAGAAGAGUGAGGCGGUGGGUGGAGGAAAAGGGAAAGUGAAAAGCUGAGUGUCUUGAGGGUGCUGAUGGCAUCUUGACCUCAAACUUCUAAUGACCGCUCCCAACAGCUUCAUGUCAAUUAAAUUUGUGUUGAUUAAACGGCAUUAAGGAUAGAAUAGUGCCCUGUGGCACAUCAUAGCAUAACUUCCAGGGAGCUGAAAAGCACUCUCCCAGUGCUACUGUAUGGACUCAGUCUCAUUUGUAGGCCCCAAAACACUGUAAUACAGUGCCCCCAAUUCCCAUAUUGCACUCCCCUUAUCCCUCUCUGUAAUUGUCAUCCAUCAGAGUAAUCAAGGCCAGCACAGUGCCAUUACCAGCUCAGAACCAAGACUGGAACAGGUCUAAAAAAAUCCAUAUUAUCCAAGAAUGGUUGCAGCUGCCCCAUCAUAAUUCUUUCUGUCACUUUCCCCAUGAAAGAGGUUUUUAUGAUUGGUCAAUAGUCCUUCCUGGCCAAGGGUUCCAGGACUGGUUUCUUUAGGAGAGGCCCCACCACUGCCUCUUUCAAGGCAGCAACAAGCACCCACGCACACAAUGAAACAUUAGCCACACUCUGGACGCAUUCAGUCAAACCAGCAUGCUAGCUGCAUAACUAUGCUUUGAUAUAUUUUAUUUUAUGGUGGUAUAAAAAUACUUUUAUUAAUAAAUAAAGAAAUAGAAGCAAUCAUUUCUUACUAUGGUGAUUUUUGUAAUA